ensembl:lncRNA
AUGUCACGACAUCCCCAUGUCAUGUUGUCCCCAUAUCAUGACAUUCCCAUGUCACGACAUCCCCAUAUCGUGACAUCCACGUGUCACAACAGCUCAUCCCCACGUCAAGAUCCCCAUGUCAUGUCGUCCCCAUGUCACGACAUCCCCAUGUCACAGUCCAAUGUCACGACAUCCCCAUGUCUCGUUGUCCCCAUGUCACGACAUCCCCAUGUCACGAUAUCUCCAUGUCAUGACAUCCCCAUAUCGCGACAUCCAUGUGUCACAACUCAUCCCCAUGUCAACAUCCCCAUGUCAUGUUGUCCCCAUGUCAUGAUAUCCCCAUGUCACGACAUCCCCAUAUCAGGCCAUCCCCAUGUCCCCAGGUCCCCAUGUCACGACAUCCCCAUGUCACAGACCAAUGUCACGAUAUCCCCAUGUCAUGUCAUCCCCAUGUCACGACAUCCCCGUGUCGCAGUCCAAUGUCACGACAUCCCCAUUUCUAAUGGUCCCCAUAUCAUGACAUCCCCAUUUCAUGUUGUCCCCAUGUCACGAUAUCCCCAUGUCACGACAUCCCCAUAUCAAGAUAUCUCCAUGUCAAGAACCCCAUGUCAAACAGUCCCUAUGACACUUCAUCCCCAUGUCACGACAUCCCCAUAUCGUGACAUCCCCAUGUCCCACUCAUCCCCAUGUCAAGAUCCCCAUGUCAUGUCAUGUCAUCCCCAUGUCAAACUGUCCCCAUGUCACGACAUCCCCAUGUCACGAUAUCCCCAUUUCUAACUGUCCCCAUGUCACGACAUCCCCAUAUCGUAACAUCCACAUGUCACAACAGCUCAUCCCCGUGUCAAGAUCCCCAUGUCAUGUCGUCCCCAUGUCAUGACAUCCCCAUUUCACACUGUCCCCAUAUCACGACAUCCCCAUGUCACGAUAUCCCCAUUUCUAAUGGUCC